rnacentral:ncRNA from 1 species
GCAGAGUAGGUGUUUCCGCGUCAAGUGCCAGGGGAUGGGAAGUCGCCCCUGGACGAAAGGCCGGGUCCUACGGUCUGCGAUGGGACACCGCUUCCGCUGC